UAUUUCCCGAUUUCGACUGAGUUAAUGAUUUAUUUUAGUUACUGUUUCAUAAGUAUUAAUAAUAUUUUGUUGGUAAUGAAAUGUUAUCGUUUUCGACUAUUUCUGGUUUUCUAAGAGAUGAAUUUAAUUCAUGCAUUAUUAUUUAAUUUUUCUUUUUUUUUAGUUUAUUUUAAUUUAAUGCAAAUAUUUUGGGGGAUUAUCUCCUGAGUUUCUUUUUAAAAUUAUUUCUGUUUAAUUUAUUUCUGUGGGUUUUACAUUAACUAUCAUUUUAAUUAUGUUCAAAUUUCAUUAUUUAUUGUUUAUUUAUUUUUAUUUUGUUUAAUUUUUUAUUGGAAUGUUUGUUUUAAUUUUUUUUUUUUUGUAAUUUUGAUGUAAUUAGUAUAAUUUUAUUUUAUUUUGUUUUCUUUAGUUAUUUUUUUUCUAGGAAUUAGGCAAAUAAUUUAUGUCCGCCUGUUUAUCAAAAACUACUCCUAUUGAUAGUUUUUUAGGUAUGACCUGCCCGCUGAUAUUUAUUGAAGGGCCGCGGUAUUUUGACCGUGCAAAGGUAGCAUAGUCAUUAGUCUUUUAAUUGUAGGCUGGUAUGAAUGGUUUGACGAGAUAUAUGCUGUCUUGAAUAAAUUUUUUGAAUUUGGGUUUUAAGUUAAAAUACUUAAAUUUUUUUAUGGGACGAGAAGACCCUAUAGAGUUUUAUAAAGUUUAAUUUUUUGGUUUGUGGUUUAUUCUUGUUAUUUGAUUUUAUUUUGUUGGGGCGAUGGGGAGAUUUAUUUAACUCUCUUUUAUUAUUUAUAUACUUAUUAGUAUUUUUAUGAU
rnacentral:rRNA from 1 species